rnacentral:tRNA from 1 species
GCCAGCGUGAUGAGAUUGGUAUGCAUGGGGAUUCAAAAUCCACUGUCGAAAAACGCGUCGGUUCGAGUCCGACCGCUGGUACCA